rnacentral:rRNA from 1 species
GAUGAACGCUAGCGAUAGGCUUAACACAUGCAAGUCGAGGGGCAGCAUGGUCUUAGCUUGCUAAGGCUGAUGGCGACCGGCGCACGGGUGCGUAACGCGUAUGCAACUUGCCUCACAGAGGGGGAUAACCCGUCGAAAGACGGACUAAUACCGCGUACACUCUAUGUUGGGCAUCCAAUGUAGAGGAAAUGAAAUUCGCUGUGAGAUAGGCAUGCGUCCCAUUAGCUAGUUGGUGAGGUAACGGCUCACCAAGGCGACGAUGGGUAGGGGAACUGAGAGGUUGAACCCCCACACUGGUACUGAGACACGGACCAGACUGCUACGGGAGGCAGCAGUGAGGAAUAUUGGACAAUGGGCGAGAGCCUGAACCAGCCAAGUCGCGUGAAGGAUGACUGUCUUAUGGAUUGUAAACUUCUUUUAUACGGGAAUAACAAGAGUCACGUGUGGCUCCCUGCAUGUACCGUAUGAAUAAGCAUCGGCUAACUCCGUG